GACAAGAUAGGUUAAUAAAACCGGUGGGCUCAUGCCCCAACAUUGAGAUAAUUCUCUCUUGCUC
rnacentral:tRNA from 1 species